rnacentral:ribozyme from 1 species
UGACAGGAAGUAGUAAACAAGUAAAGAGCAAGACAGGAAACCAGCCCACAUGCCUAAAUGCUUCGUGUGCUGCUUGUAGGUACUUGUCAGCAGCUUUUUCGUAUCUUCAAAGUUAAUUGAGUUCAUAUUUAGUGUAUAAUCGACUAACAGCUACUUUGAGCUAAUGAAUAGAAA